rnacentral:rRNA from 1 species
AGCCUAACUCUAGCUCUUCUACCAAAUUACAUACAAACUAAAUCAAUACCACCCACUAAAUCAAAGCAUUCUCUUAACUCAACCUAGUAUAGGCGAUAGAAAGGUGAACUCAAGACGCGAUAGAGAUCAUGUACCGUAAGGGAAAAAUGAAAUAAUAAUGACAAACCAAGCACUAAAUAGCAAAGACCAACCCUUGUACCUUUUGCAUCAUGAUUUAGCAAGAACUACCCAAGCAAAACGCCAAUUUAAGUUUGCCACCCCGAAACCCAAGCGAGCUACUUACGAGCAGCUAUUUAUUGAGCAAACCCGUCUCUGUUGCAAAAGAGUGGAGCGACUCGUUAGUAGUGGUGAAAAGCCAAUCGAGCUGGGUGAUAGCUGGUUGCCUAUGAAACGAAUCUCAGUUCUCUCUUAAUUCAUCUCUCAGGUCUACAUCCAACCCGCAUGAAGCGAAUUAAGAGCUAUUUAAAGGAGGUACAGCUCCUUUAAAAAAGAAUACACUCUCCCUCAGCGGAUAAACUAAAUUGCACUUAAACUGUGGGCCUUCAAGCAGCCACCAUCAAAGAAUGCGUCAAAGCUCUACACCUAAAAAUCCAAACCUUCCCAUGAUUCCCUCUCCUCCCAAUAGGCUAACUUAUAAUAGAUAAGAGAAUCUAUGCUAAAAUAAGUAACUAGGGAUUCCCUCUACGGCGCAAGCUUACAUUACAUAUUAUUAACAGACCCUAAGAUAUCCCCUAACCCUAACAAGACUCUAUAUCAAAAACCCUGUUAACCCGCCUAUGGAGCGCCUCUCAAAGAAUGAUUAAAAUCUGUAAAAGGAACUAGGCAAACCCAAGGCCCGACUGUUUACCAAAAACAUAGCCUUUAGCAAACCAAGUAUUAAAGGUGAAGCCUGCCCAGUGACAAUACGUUCAACGGCCGCGGUAUCCUAACCGUGCAAAGGUAGCGCAAUCAAUUGUCCCAUAAAUCGGGACCUGUAUGAACGGCUCAACGAGGUCUUAACUGUCUCCUACAGAUAAUCAGUGAAAUUGAUCUUCCUGUGCAAAAGCAGGAAUAACCUCAUUAGACAAGAAGACCCUGUGGAACUUUAAAAUCUGCUACCACUCCCAUGAACAACUUUCUCCUACAGGACCUACUCCCCGGGAUCUUACUGGUAUGCAUUUUUUGGUUGGGGCGACCUUGGAGAUAAACUUAACCUCCAAAAACCAGACAACCCAUCUUGACCAAGAACAACUCAUCAACGUACUAAUAGUAACCAGACCCAAUAUAAUUGAUUAAUGAACCUAGCUACCCCAGGGAUAACAGCGCAAUCUCCUUCAAGAGCCCACAUCGACAAGGAGGUUUACGACCUCGAUGUUGGAUCAGGACAUCCUAGUGGUGCAACCGCUACCAAGGGUUCGUUUGUUCAACGAUUAAUAGUCCUACGUGAUCUGAGUUCAGACCGGAGUAAUCCAGGUCGGUUUCUAUCUAUGCUACAACUCCUUCUAGUACGAAAGGACCGAAGAAGUAAGGCCUAUACCACAAGCACGCCUUCGCCCUCAGUAAUGAACUCAACUAAAUUACUAAGAGCUCCAACAUAACCCCUCCUAGAAAAGGACCG